rnacentral:rRNA from 1 species
GACGAACGCUGGCGGCGUGCCUAAUACAUGCAAGUAGGACGCAGUUGCGAACGGGUGAGUAACGCGUAGGUAACUAUCUAUUAGAGGGGGAUAACUAUUGGAAACGAUAGCUAAUACCGCAUUCUAGUAGAUGGACCUGCGUUGUAUUAGCUAGUGGGUAGGGUAAUGGCCUAUGUAGGCAACGAUACAUAGCCGACCUGUGAAGGGGAUCGGCCACACUGGGACUGGGAACCGGCACAGGCCACUACGGGAGGAAGCAGUAGGGAAUAUUCGGCAAUGGGGGGAACCCUGACCGAGCAACGCCGCGUGAGUGAAGAAGGUUUUCGGAUCGGAAAGCUAUGUUGUUAAGGAAGCGGUACUUAACCAGAAAGGGACGGCUAACUACGUGCCAGCCGCCGCGGUAAUUC